rnacentral:rRNA from 1 species
AUUGAACGCUGGCGGCAGGCCUAACACAUGCAAGUCGAACGAGUGGCGGACGGGUGAGUAAUGUCUGGGAAACUGCCUGAUGGAGGGGGAUAACUACUGGAAACGGUAGCUAAUACCGCAUACCAUCAGAGGCGACCAGAUGGGAUUAGCUAGUUGGUGGGGUAAAGGCUCACCAAUGUGACGCUCCCUAGCUGGUCUGAGAGGAUGACCAGCCAAACUGGAACUGAGACACGGUCCAGACUCCUACGGAAGGCAGCAGUGGGGAAUAUUGCACAAUGGGCGCAAGCCUGAUGCAGCAAUGCCGCGUGUAUGAAGAAGGCCUUCGGGUUGUAAAGUACUUUCAGCGGGGAGGCGUUACCCGCAGAAGAAGCACCGGCUAACUCCGUGCCAGCAGCCGCGGUAAUAC